rnacentral:lncRNA from 1 species
CAUUGUAGAAUCAAUAAAAGCUCAUCAAAGACUUCUCCCGUGGAUGUAAACAGAGUGCUUUGUGCUCUGUUGAACCACGUAAUCUUUCUGGUUCUUGGUUGGUUUUAUCUUUUGAUUCUUGGUUCUUUCUGGUGCUUGGUUAAAUCCAAUUUGAUUACUUAAGCUGUGACAGAUUCUAUUCGAUCGUAAGCAUUGUGCAACUUGUGUUUGAUCUGAUCUAAGAAAUCUUGGGCAGUAACUAGUUUUGUUUAAGGUGAAAGAACUGACAAGUUACUACA